UUUACUUACGUCCUGACUGAACUCUGGAUUAUCACGGUUCAUUUUAACUAAAUUUUGUAAAACCAAAUGGUUAAAGACAAAAAAGAGAGUACAAUCUAGUUUCAGUUAAAGCAAUUGCUGUCAAGAACCAAGUUGCACGAGUCACCCUACAUUUACAAUAUGCAUAUAAAAAGAUAUGCAAGCUUGUAAUUGAUACUCUUACUUUAAACCAAAAACCACCCCCUCAAAAUAUUUUUCUUCUUCUUCUUCUUUGAAGUGUUACCAAUCAA
rnacentral:lncRNA from 1 species